AAGGAAGAUGAGAAAGAAAGAAGUUGUGAUGGUGUGUUUUUGUUUUUUCUUUUCUUUGCCAUUUUCUCUUUCGCCUCGCAAGCAAGGUCAAAAAAAGAGUGAAUGAGAGUCAGAGAGGAUUAAUCAUCAAGUAUUGUCAUGAA
rnacentral:ribozyme from 14 species